AGCUCUACCUGGAUAGCUCAGUUGGUUAGAGUGUGAUGCUGAUAACGCCAAGGUUCAGGUUUGAUCCCCAUAAGGGUCA